UACGUAGGGUGCUAACGUUGUUCGGAAUCAUUGGGCGUAAAGAGCGUGUAGGCGGCCAGGUAGGUCGGUUGUGAAAACUGGAGGCUCAACCUUCAGAGGUCGACCGAAACCAUCUGGCUAGAGUCCGGGAGAGGAGAGUGGAAUUCCUGGUGUAGCGGUGGAAUGCGCAGAUAUCAGGAGGAACACCAAUAGCGAAGGCAGCUCGCUGGGACGGUACUGACACUAAGGCGCGAAAGCGUGGGGAGCGAACAGG
rnacentral:rRNA from 1 species